rnacentral:rRNA from 1 species
CAAAAACAUGUCCUUUUGAAUUUAANAGANGGUCUGACCUGCCCAGUGAGGAGUUCAACGGCCGCGGUAUAACUGACCGNGCAANGGUNGCAUNAUCAUUAGUCUUUUAAUAGAGGGCUGGAAUGAAAGGUUNCACGAGGAACUGACUGUCUCAUUUAUUUGUUUUAAAAUUUAAUUUUUUAGUUAAAAAGCUAAAAUUCUAUUGGAAGACGAGAAGACCCUAUAGAUCUUACAUAACUAUUUAAAUAUUUAUAUAUUAAUAUUUUUAUAUUCUUUUGUGUUUUGUUGGGGUGACAAAAAUAAUAUUUAACUUUUAUUUACAUAACAUUGAUUUAUGAAUAUUAGAUCCAUUACUAUUGAUUAUUAGACUAAGUUACCUUAGGGAUAACAGCGUAAUCCUCCUCCAGAGUUCAUAUUUACAGGAUGGGCUUGCGACCUCGAUGUUGGAUUAAGAUAAUAAUUAGGUGUAGCAGCUUAAUUUAUAGGUCUGUUCGACCUUUAAAUUCUUACAUGAUCUGAG